CGAGCUGCUCGCCGAGGAGGCGGCGGCGGGGCGCGAGGCGGCGUUCGACUUCGCGUUCGUGGACGCGGACAAGCCCAACUACGUCAAGUACCACGAGCAGCUGCUGCAGCUGGUGCGCGUCGGCGGGCACAUCGUGUACGACAACACGCUGUGGGCCGGCACGGUGGCGCUGCCGCCGGACACGCCGCUGUCGGACCUGGACCGGAGGUUCUCCGUCGCCAUCAGGGACCUCAACUCCAGGCUCGCCGCCGACCCGCGCAUCGACGUCUGCCAGCUCGCCAUCGCCGACGGCAUCACCAUCUGCCGCCGCCUCGUGUGAGGUCG
rnacentral:misc_RNA from 1 species